rnacentral:tRNA from 1 species
GGGCUGGGGCUCAGCGGUAGAGCACUCGCCUAGCAUGUGUGAGGCACUGGGUUCAAUCUCAGCACCACA